rnacentral:guide_RNA from 1 species
AUAUAAACAAUAAGUUCACUAUGAAGGUACAGUAUAUGAUAUAU